rnacentral:rRNA from 1 species
AUUGAACGCUGGCGGCAGGCCUAACACAUGCAAGUCGAACGAGUGGCGGACGGGUGAGUAAUGUCUGGGAAACUGCCCGAUGGAGGGGGAUAACUACUGGAAACGGUAGCUAAUACCGCAUACCAUCGGAUGUGCCCAGAUGGGCUUAGCUAGUAGGUGGGGUAACGGCGCACCUAGGCGACGAUCCCUAGCUGGUCUGAGAGGAUGACCAGCAAAACGGGAACUGAGGCACGGUCCAGACGCCUACGGGAGGCAGCAGGGGGGAAUAUUGCACAAUGGGCGAAAGCCUGAUGCAGCCAUGCCGCGUGUAUGAAGAAGGCCUGCGGGUUGUAAAGUACUUUCAGCGGGGAGGCGUUACUCGCAGAAGAAGCACCGGCUAACUCCGUGCCAGCAGCCGCGGUAAUUC